ACUUCAGCAUUUCUUCGGGAGCCCUCCGGGGCUUUAAAGCAUCCCCGACCAUUUUGCGGAGCCGGCGCUGCGGGCUAAGUUUAGCAGGGCAGCGGCGCACGCCGCGGCUCACGGGCAGCGCCGAGCCCCCCGCGGGGCAGCCCGCGGGCUCCUUCCCAUCGCUUCUCCCGGCGGCGCCUCCUCCCGCCCCGCGCUCCGGCGGCGCCCGGCUUCCUCCCCGCACGGGGAGAGGCAGGUGGAUGUCGGGAGGAGGGCAGGGAAGGGACGGGAGGCAGGAGCCGCCGCGGGCAGCAGGGUGCCGGCAGCAGGUAGGGAGGGCAGCGCGGGGCGGCCGCCGGUGCCGUGCGGUGCCUGUGCCGUUCCCCCUCCCUCCGGCCCCCGUUCUUACCACCUGCGGAGGCGGCCGGAGCCCGCCCGGGCCGGGGCAGCGACCUGUCCACUGCGGGCGCUCUCCUCCGGAGCCUUAGAAUGACAGAAGAGACUGCAAACACCCGGGAAGAGCAAGCACAAGGAGAAGAACGAGCGAGAGAAAAGAGUUUUGCUGGGGCAUCAUUACUAUGGGGACCCUGCUGACACUGCUGGGCAUGCAGGACAGCUUGCACAGCAAAAUUCAAACUUCAGUCCAUCACCUCUGACGGCUUUGAAUCCCUGUGCCAGAAACCCUUAGAAGACAGCAUGAGAAAGAAGAUUACCUACAUGGGUCCUUAGGUUCUUGGUGGCUGUCUCUUUUGAAGUGCCAUCAGAAAAGCACGUGGCUAUCACUCACAUUAAAAUGGUUUGGGUGUUUGGUGUUUCAGGAAGAAGGUAACUCAAUAAGUCGUAUGGGGCAGAGGAGGCUCUGUCCUGUCAAUAUUGACCAUGAACCACCUUGAUGAAGGCCCUCGUGCUAAGGAGUUGUGAGCUGUGUCAUGAAAUUCCUUGUUGACACUUGUACUGAACAGUCACGUCCUGUGAGAGGGAGUGCAGAGCAGGCAGGGAAGAGGGAAGCCCAAGCUCCACAACAGAGACAAAAGCAGUGAAAAAAUUAUGGUAAAGCAAUUAACAUUGGGACGUUCACUGUUUUGAACGUGUCCCUUUCCAGUAUCUGAAAAGCAAUUUUGCCCUUCUGUCUCAAUAAAGCAGUGGCCCCAAAGAUGCCUUUCUCAAACCCCCAAAGUGCCCACAGCAUUAAAAAUCUGCACAAUUAACUGCUGGUUAAUGGAGCUAGAAGUGACCCAUUUUGAUGAAGGGGAUCAGAGAGCGUGCCAGAGGAACUGGAGGUGACGGCCAGUGCCCCAGCUCUUUCAUUCCAGAAAAUUGCAGGAACAAACAGUUCCAGCAUGGUUAUUCUCACAAAGAGAAGUGGGGAGCAGUGGAGAGAGGUGCAUGUUGAGGAGGAAAGACAUUUCAAUUCUCUCUUCCCUUUUCUCAUCUCAACUCGGUAAUACCUUAUGUAACAGGUUUGGGUUUUGUUUAAAUUGUGAGACUGUGAAAAUUUCCUGACUGUAAAGCUGUAACAAUAAGAAAUACUUGUCAUCUUUUGAAAAUAUUUUUCUUUUUAGCAAAAAAAAAAAAAAAAAAAAAAAAAAAAAAAAAA